rnacentral:lncRNA from 1 species
UGUAUGACCUCACCUUGGAAGCGAUGUCAUCCCUGCUGCCACCUACUAUUGACUAGAAGCAAGUAAGCCCCACCUACAUGCCCAGGUGGGAAUCCCAACAGGAUGGGGAGGAUCAGUGGGUCUUUAGGGUUUGUGGCCACACCACGUAGGGUCGUCCCGGGAUCCCUCCAUAGGCUCAUCAAGGGGCUGGCCAUAGACCUUGGGGGGAGUAGACAACUAUGUGAGCAGAGGGCUGGGUGGGGGGUGCAUGCAGACCUGCACAGGCCUGGGUGGUUCCCCCGAGGUUGUCCAUUGGGUUGACAUGUUGGCUGCUCUGCUGGCAGGAACCCUCCCUCCAGGUGCAGGAAGCCCCUGUGAACUUGGAACCUCCCCGCCCCAGGGCUUGGAGACCAGGUGGAACAGGGGAGGCCAUCAGGCUGGACAGAGCAGCAGGGAUGGAGAGAGGCGACCCAGUCCUUGGAUCUCUGCGGGGCUGUCCCUGCCACUCUGGGGAUGCUGGGCAGACGUCACAGGCUGGGUCUCCACCCUGAGGACGUUCCAGGCGCUGCCUGGCCUGGCCCUGGAGUUAGCAUCCGAUGGCUCUACCCUCCUGCUGCCCCAUCGCGUCUGCUGUCCCCUUGCCCGCUUGACUCCUGGUGGAGGAGCAGGUGUCACCUGGCAGGGUGACACAAACCAGCCUGGGGGACAGGCUGGAGGAGCAGAGUGGCUGUGAGGCACCUGCCGGCAAGGUCAAGAUGCACACCCAGGAUGUUUCUAACGAGCAUGGAUUAGUUACCUUUAUAGUCAGCAUAUCAGUUAAAACUGAUUCUUCAGUAACAAACAUGAAGUCACAAACACCCCCUUCUGACUCCCAGAGGAUACCAAGUGCCCGGUGA